UCCUGGCUCAGGACGAACGCUGGCGGCGUGCCUAACACAUGCAAGUCGAGCGGGGACAGGGAGGAGCUUGCUCCGAACUGUUCUAGCGGCGGACGGGUGAGUAACACGUGGGCAACCUGCCUCAUAGAGGGGAAUAGCCUUCCGAAAGGGAGAUUAAUACCGCAUAAGAUUGUAGUACCGCAUGGUACAGCAAUUAAAGGAGCAAUCCGCUAUGAGAUGGGCCCGCGGCGCAUUAGCUAGUUGGUGAGGUAACGGCUCACCAAGGCGACGAUGCGUAGCCGACCUGAGAGGGUGAUCGGCCACAUUGGGACUGAGACACGGCCCAGACUCCUACGGGAGGCAGCAGUGGGGAAUAUUGCACAAUAGGGGAAACCCUGAUGCAGCGACGCCGCGUGGAGGAAGAAGGUCUUCGGAUUGUAAACUCCUGUUGUUGAGGAAGAUAAUGACGGUACUCAACAAGGAAGUGACGGCUAACUACGUG
rnacentral:rRNA from 1 species